UUCUCAAAUUAUUAAAAUUUCAAAUUUUUUUAAUAAACUCAUAUAAUACAUGAUCUCACACUUAGUUUUAUUAUUAAAAACCUCCAUCCGAUCCCCUCCCUACCUAAUUAACCCUCUUUAACGGCUUCUUCUUGCACCAUACCACCCCUCCCUAGUCCCUACCCUCCAACGACAUGUUGAUUUUGCUAAAUUAAAGGUGGUGUCUAUGUCUUGGACUUACGAAACUGAAUCAUUUUAGUGGGUGGUGGGCCAGGGUUAUAGUUCUCACUUUAGUGUGUGAUAAUGGUGGAGGUGGGGCCUGAAACUGGUGGUUAAUACUGCAUGGGGAGAGAGAGAGAAUGGCCUGUGAGGGUCCAGCCUCUAGAGAGUUGUAUGCAUGCAUGGGAAAGGAAGUGGAAGUGGGGAUCCAAACCAGAAGCAUCGUCGAUUGAAACCGAUUUCCACGGAGGUGCAGGGGGAUUGUCGGUUAAGGUAAUUGAAGGCCACCGACGGUGAAGGCCAGGCCAUUGCAGACUUGCAGUGAGUGGUUGUCCGGCAGUCCGGGUGAAAACCAUUAUGAAACAACACCAUCGGUUCCUUCUCCGGCAAGUUCCAUGCGAGUUACCAACAAAUCUGCAAACUUAAAGACUGGUGAGAUUUAUCAUUUAUGAAUGAUAUUAGGAACAAUCAUGUAAAGAAAUUGCAUGGAAGAUCAAGGAACUUGACCGAUUUUAUGGGCGAUAGUAAAUAAUGGAAACUUUCUCGGUAACAUAGGUAUCAUCGUCUUGGAAAGGAAGGGCUCGGAUUGAUCACAGUGCACACACCUAUGAAUUACGCAACGAAUGAUUUUGGGACGAACUCUGAUAAUUUUUUACAUAAUGAUGAUUUGAAAUGUUUGGGAUAAAUGAUAUCAAUGUUUUAGUUAUACAAAAAAUGAAAUUUUUACCCUUGA